GCGUCAGUGGUGCAACGGGUUGGAGCACGCGUUUCCAGAAGGAGUGGGGUGCGGGUUCGAGCCCCGCAUGACGCA